rnacentral:rRNA from 1 species
GAUGAACGCUAGCUACAGGCUUAACACAUGCAAGUUGAACGAAGAAGUCAGAGUGCUUGCACUCAGGCUUACUGAGUGGCGGACGGGUGAGUAACGCGUGGGUAACCUGCCUCACACAGGGGGAUAACAGUCGGAAACGACUGCUAAUACCGCAUAAGCGCACAGUGCCGCAUGACACAGUGUGAAAAACUCCGGUGGUGUGAGAUGGACCCGCGUCUGAUUAGCUAGUUGGCGAGGUAACGGCCCACCAAGGCAACGAUCAGUAGCCGGCCUGAGAGGGUGAACGGCCACAUUGGGACUGAGACACGGCCCAAACUCC